rnacentral:tRNA from 1 species
UGUUAUGUGGCUUAGUUGGUUGAAGCGCCGGUCCAGCAAAAACAGAGUCGUGGGUUCGAAACCCACCAAAACGU